rnacentral:rRNA from 1 species
AACGAACGCUGGCGGCGUGCCUAACACAUGCAAGUCGAGCGCGAAAAGGGCAACCUGAGUAGAGCGGCGCACGGGUGCGUAACACGUGGGUAAUCUGCCUUAGAGUCGAGGAUAACCUUCCGAAAGGUUGGCUAAUACUCGGUAAGCUUACGGUGUCUUCGGACGCUGUGGGAAAAGUAGGCCUCUGUUUACAAGCUUACGCUCUGAGAUGAGCCCGCGGCCCAUCAGCUGGUUGGCGGUGUAACGGACCACCCAGGCAACGACGGGUAGCUGGUCGAUGAGGACGAACAGCCACACUGGAACUGAGACACGGUCCAGACGCCUACGGGGGGCAGCAGUGGAGAAUUUUCCACAAUGGGCGAAAGCCUGAUGGAGCUACGAAGCGUGUGUGAUGAAGGUUUUCGGAUCGUAAAGCACUGUCGACCGGGACGAAAAACCUCUGGCUAACAUCCAGGGGCCUGACGGUACCGGGAGAAGAAGCACCGGCUAACUCUGUGCCAGCAGCCGCCGCAG